rnacentral:lncRNA from 1 species
GCAAAAUUUCAAUAUGGGAUCAAAAUGUAUGCCCAUAUAAUGUUUUAGAGUUGUGUCUUUUUCUAACUUGGAAAAUUGAAAAUUUUUCAGUUUCCCCACUCUGAUUCCAGUUUUUCACAUGCUAUUUAAUGAAGCUCAUGCACAAUUCAAGACUUAUAUUGUUCUAGAGUAAUGUCCCUUUUUAACAUAAAUAAUUGGACAUAUUCUGUUGUUUGUAUUCUUGUUAUUGGUAGAAAAAAAUAGACUUAAUUUUACUAUUGGAAGUCAACCAUUAAAUAUUAGAUAACUGCAAA